UGCAGGCAGUUACUAACAGCACAGUUGAGCAAGGGUGUUUGGCAAGACCUGAAUUAGAGGAGAGAACUACUACAUCUUCUAAUACUCCAUCUGGCUGUAGUUCAGAAAGUAGCAUAGAUGAAAUUGAUGAAGCAUUCUUCAGGUCAUCAUCAAGCUACGUCCCCUUAGUUAGCAGAGACAACAAGAAACUUGACCAGGCCAGCAGUGUUCAAGUUGGUGUCAGUAACAAUCAAGAACUGUGUGCAGAUAGUGCAGCAGCGGUUUUCAAUGAUGAGGAUGAAGAAGCAAACAAUUUCAAGGGCAUUGUGAAAAGGGUUGCAAGUCAGUGCAGUAACAGCCAAUCUGGAGUGGCCAAUGAGGAAACAAUUGCAAAGUCGUACAACAUAAACUGUGACAGCCAUCCGAAGCUAAGUCUCACACAUAACAAAGGCAUCCAUGCCGAAACCUCUGCUCCUGAGGAUGACGUAGUAACUACAAAAGAGGGUAUGUCUUUGACUGAUCAUUGUGAUGGAAGCUUGGUAGGAUUACCGGUAAGUCACAAAUGUCAGCAGGUGCAAUCCACCGAUGGUACUACUCAAGGCAGUACAUGCACGUCUUCACUUGCUUUACUUGACUACAAUACAAAUGUGGGAAAAGCAAGCCACAAAGAAGACACUGCACAUACCAGUAUUUUUACUGAAAGGAUACCUUCCAAUGAAGAAUUUCAUAAAGAUAUGAAAGCAAACAGCAAUAACUUUCAGAUGGCACAUCAUCUGCCAUCUACAGACACUUGCCAUUCUGAUGGUGAUGUCUCCACAGCCAGUACAAGCCUUACAGAAACCACCUCAGAAAAAGAAAACCUACCAGACAUGACUGCAAUGUUUCCUUGUAAGAAUACUGCAGAGAAUGGUGCUGUUUGUAAUGCCAUCACCCCUGUCAGUCAUAGAACCCCAAUGGGAUAUCAAGUUGAACCAAAAGAGUCAAGUUGUGAUGUGAUGGACCAGACAGUUCCAGAUGAACCACUGCAUUAUAUCAGGGACCACACUGUAGAGGGAGUACCAGGCACAGAAUCUGACACUGGGACACUCUAUGCAGAAACAUCUACAUGUCAUGAUGGGAAGUCAAGCAGCUUGUUCUACUGGUCUCCCCAACAUAUAUCAUACACAGAGCAGUUGGUUCCAACCAAAGCAGACAUGUCAUCGAAUGAUACAUCAUCAUGCGGUGUCUUCGGUGUGUCACCUUUGAAGACGUGUUCUCGACCAAUCCGAGUUGGUCUGUCUCGCAGGCAGAGGGUCCAAAAACUUCACCCCUACAACAAACCUAAAGAGUAGAGCUCCACACAUUGCUCUAUGUGGUGAGGCUGAACAAUGUUACUUUUGGCAUAGUAGUUAUGUAAAACACCUGAUGGAGUUAUCGUGUUAAUUUCUUGUGAAGUUGGCUGGAAAGGCUAACUUGGGGACAUUGUAACCUCCUUUUGUCAGGUCUUGUGUUUAGAUUCCCCUUUGCCCCAUCGUUUGGCUGAAAAAUGUUAAUGCUGAGAAUAGAAAAAAGAUCCCUUGAUAUGUUAUACUGAUGUUGAAGAUAGAUGAGUUGUUCCCAUUGAGUUGUGAACACAUUGUACAUGUAUUGAAUAUUAUACUGUUUACUAUAGAUGUGGCAGUCAUUUUGACUUUUUGAAAUCUCAUGUUUUUUUAUGUCACUUGAAACUGUUAUUUGACUUGAAUUAGUUGCUAAUAGAAAUAUAUUGCCCUCUUGUGGGCAAAUUAUUUACAAUUGUUAGAAUACACAGGAAGUGCCAGUGUUGGAAGAACAUACUAGGUUUUGUACAUUGUUCAUUGUACUGAAGAUCUGCAAGUAUUCUUUCUCAAAAUAGACCAUGCAGACUAGUAGAUUGCAACUCUUCAGUAGACCACAAGGAGGCAUCUCUAUCUCAUGAAAAUAGGACUGGGAUAAAGGUCUUGCCAUACUUCACAGAAUAAUUGAUAAGAGAAGGUACUGCAACAACACUUCUGAAAGUGAAAUUUGUUGAUAACAAAAAAAACUGAAGAUGAGUACCAAAAAGUUUUGGGGAAAAAAUCUCCUCUGUAUGCUUGUUUUUGCUACUAAGAAGCAAUGUACUCUAUGUUCUCUGUAUGGAUAUGGUGGAAAGAAACUGUCCACUAUGAUCUUAUAGAUUUUAGUUAAUGUUGAAAUGUGAUACGAAGUGAGUGAAAUAUCUUGCACCGGGUCUUUUAGCUAACAUAGCAGUUAACAUCUCUAUCUCCUCCAAGUAGAUACUGUGUUGACUUACGUUCCGCUUCAACAGUGAAAUGUUCUACAUUGCACAAUUUAGGAUCCUUGUUGCAGGGCGGGGUUGUUCGAAGAAAGCUCAUGUUAUGAUUCCAAUUUUUGUGCCUGUACUGUUUUUGGUUUUGCCUUAAU